GAGCCGUCGGGAGCCAGGUGCUCCUCGCUUCCCAAUCCCCUGCAGUAAUCGGAACAGAACGUCAAAGUACGAACGCGGUCACACAAAAGACGAAAGCGACGACCUGAAACGCGGCGUGAAAAGCAACGACGACCCCAGGGCACAGCCUGCUGACACCGCACCACCAGGGAUGGCAGGGGGAAGCGGGGCAGAGCGGGACCAGCUUUAGGCUGGACAUCAGAUGUGGAUCUUUCUGAACAAGGCCUGAUCAUGAGCUGGCAAUUUUCCUGAACGGGAGGAAGAACACCAUCGAUCUUUCAGUGUCAACAUUAAAGACAUUUGCUAAAAUUAGAGACUAGCAAGAAUGAACACUUACUUGACAAAAUCAAGGUAAUUCAUCAUUCAGCAACUAAAAACCAGUGGGAGACAGCAAAGUAAAAUAG